GGUGUGGUAGUGUAGGACCCCGUUGAAGUCUCUCCUGCCAGCCAGUACUGUGCGGCGUCGCGUGGUGGGUGGACGCUCGGCUGGGCCACACCGCGUCUCUUCACUUAUACCACCCUACGCCCUACCACGCUAUACUCUGUGAUCUCAACCCGGUUUCAGGAAUAAUAACAUGUAAAGAGCCUGUGAAUAACAGUUAACUUAUAGUGCCAUAUAAACUAAGUCUGAUCACCUCUGAAUCUUUGAUCAAAACUAAAAAAAAUGAUCAAAACUGAAAUAAAUUGAUCAAAACUGAUUUUUUGGGGGGUAAAAGCUGAAAUAAAUUGAGCAAAAUUGAAAUAAAUUGAUCAAAACCAAAAUAAAUUGAUCAAAACUAAAACAAAAUUGAUCAGGACUUAAAAAAAAAUAACUGAAACUGAUCAUGUUGUGAUUAUACUGGAUUAUAAUCAUAAAUAUUGAUCUAAAGAAUCAAAGACGAUUAUAGAAAAAUAGACAAAAAAAUGUACAUUAGAAUUAAGGAUAAUUCUCUGUAUGUGCAUUGUAGAUAUAGACAGAUAGACAGACAUAGAUAAAGACAGAUAGACAGACAGAUAGACAGAUUAAUAGACGGAUAUUUUUUAGCAAUUCGUGAGUGUUUUUUUUUUAAGUGUAAAUUUAUUGAAAAAAAGUAAAUAGUGGAAAGUGAAGGAUGAAAGACUAAGGAAGAGAGAGAGAGAGAGAGAAAAAUAAGAUAGAAAAUACGAUAAAAUAAGAGAAAAGGAGGAAAAAAGACGAUAAAUUGAGAUAAAGUGAUGAGUGAUAAUGGUGUAGAGGUGAAGUGUAAUAGUGAAGUGUUUGGUAGAUGUAAUUGAAGUGUUAUUGUAUUAUUAUAACGUGUUGGUAAUUAUCAUCGUUCUACCACACCGUUAUAAUCGCCGCCACACCAUCUCUACCACCACUACUACCAUCAUCAGAAUCGAACGUGACCACAUCAUCUCUACCACACCCUGAACACCUGUACAGUGCCACACCCUUUAUCCAUCACAUCGUCUCUUACCACAUCUCGACCAUACUCCCAAAAAAAUAAGAAGAAAUUCCUGAACCCUAACGUGCCACCACAUCCUUCUCCGUCUCACCAGUGCCACACCUUGGUCUCCUGCCACACUAGCAAUGCCUCCAGCAGCCGCCAAGAUGAUUACCCCGAAAAGCAAAAGACGUCUCUCACCGUCCAUCAAGAUGUCUUACCUCGGGAUGACAACACAUAGACUUUGACAACCUACCAAACCCCAAUGCGCUUCGAGCUGCUGGAGAUU